AGUACAGACCAUCCUCACCACAGUGUGUUCCUUGAUGGUGGCAGGGGUCCUCUGGACUCUAGAAAUCCAUGUGGGUGGUGGGUCCUGUGCUGGGAUUGUGCCAAGGAAUAACCUCUAUGCUACUGUUCUGACAAGUCCUAUUGAACAAGGAGCCAUUAUCUUGACUUAGGCAUAGACCUGGAACCCACCAAGGGCCAUCCACCAUAGGGAGAGACCUUGCCCAUGGCCAAAGUGGGCUUCCCUGGGUUGGGGAAUGGGUGCAGGGUGGCCAUUACACAAAGAUUCUGUCCUAUCCUUUGUGUUGAUUAUUCCUUCCUGUGAACACCUUUGCUUUCCACGUAGGCCCCAAGGACUUCACUCUGAGUCUACUUCAGGUGGAACAGAUCGGCUUUACAUUAUGGGACUCUGCAUAAGGUUUCUUCUGGGGAGAGGGGGAUACCACUACUAAAAACAGUUAAUCAUCAAAACUCCUAGGAAUACUUGUUCCAGCCUGGAUCAGCCCAGGUGAAUUCACCAGGGAUGCUGCUCUUACUUAGGAUCCCAAAGAUAACUUCUCUGAUAUGGGAAUAAGAAAAAGAUUUGUUAGCCACUUGUCUAUGAAGGAUCUGGGCCUCCAAAAGGCAGUACUGAGGCAAAACUGAUUCUCCUGAGAGCUAGGAGCUAGUCAGGAUACCGGCCCCACCACCUUUAAACUUAGGGAUCAUCAACCUUGUUUGUAUAGAGCCAGGGCGAGCUGGGAGUGUCCUGACCCGUGUCCUUUCGAGGACCACUAAAGAGUCUGAGAGGGCUGAGAGGGCGGAGCAUUCUUUUGGUCCGGGAAGUAUGGUCUUCUAUACGGUUGAGAACUGCCCAGAGCCCAAGGGACCCGCUCUCCAUUCGUACCAUCGUCCCACCCCCUUAUGGCCUCUUCUAAACUCUCGCGAAGUGCAGAGAUGGCUGCGCUGAGAGAACAGGGCUAAGGAGACCGUGCCCAGCUCCGGCUUGGGACCGUAACGUCUUGUCUUGCCCCAGAAAGGGGCUCGGCCGGCGGCGUAGCUGCUCCUGGUGCCCAUCCAACGCUGUGUUCUGGUACUGGGCGAUUCCCGGGAGCCGCGAGGGACUUACCGCUGAGCUUCAGGCCCGCGCUCGGCCCCAGGAUUCUUUUCGGCCUGAGAGGCCGUUAAGCCCCGCCCCCGAGGGUUCGUCCAAUCCGGGCCCAAACUUCAUUUUGCGCCUUGUAGCCACUUCCGGUUCGCUUCCGGAAGUCGCGCUGUGGAGCCAAAUUUGAAGCAAGCUGGGACGCUGAGGCACGGCCACGAAGCUGGACCCUUCGCGGUUUCCUUGGCUACCUGGGCCACUUGAGACCAGUCAUGCCUAUUCGUGCUCUGUGCACUAUAUGCUCCGACUUCUUCGAUCACUCCCGCGACGUGGCAGCCAUCCACUGCGGCCACACCUUCCACUUGCAGUGCCUAAUUCAGUGGUUCGAGACAGCACCAAGUCGGACCUGCCCACAGUGCCGAAUCCAGGUUGGCAAAAGAACCAUUAUCAAUAAGCUCUUCUUUGACCUUGCCCAGGAGGAGGAGAGUGUCUUAGAUGCAGAAUUCCUAAAGAAUGAACUGGAUAAUACCAGAGCCCUGCUUUCCCAGAAAGAGAAGGAAAAACGAGACAGCCAGAUCAUCAUUGACACUUUGCGGGACACGCUGGAAGAGCGCAACGCCACUGUGGAAUCCCUGCAGAAGGCCUUAGACAAGGCCGAAAUGCUGUGCUCCACCCUCAAGAAGCAGAUGAAGUACUUGGAGCAGCAGCAGGAUGAGACCAAACAAGCACGGGAGGAAGCCCGCCGACUCCGGAGCAAGAUGAAGACUAUGGAGCGGAUUGAGCUCCUACUCCAGAGCCAGCGGCCUGAGGUGGAGGAAAUGAUCCGAGAAAUGGGUGUGGGACAAUCAGCAGUGGAGCAGCUGGCUGUGUACUGCGUGUCCCUCAAGAAAGAGUACGAGAAUCUAAAAGAGGCACGGAAGGCCUCAGGGGAGCUAACUGACAAACUGAAGAAGGACUUGUUUUCUUCUAGGAGCAAGUUGCAGACAGUCUACUCUGAACUGGACCAGGCGAAAUUGGAGCUGAAGUCAGCCCAGAAGGACUUACAGAGCGCUGACAAAGAAAUCUUGAGCCUGAAAAAAAAACUGAUGAUGCUGCAGGAAACCCUGAACCUGCCACCAGUGGACAGUGAGACUGUCAAUCGCCUGGUUUUAGAAAGCCCAGCUCCUGUGGAGAUGCUCAACCUAAAGCUUCACCGGCCAGCCUUCGGUGAUGACAUUGACCUCAAUGCCACCUUUAAUGUGGACACCCCUCCUUCCCAGCCCUCCAGCAUCCAGCAUGGCCGUGCCAAAAGACUCUUCCCAGAGGAAGCACAUUCUCCCGUUCAGGAUGUUCCCAAGAAGAUGCCUCAAGGCGCCAAGCAGGAGUCUCAGCUCUCGCUGGGUGGCCAGCGCUGUCUGGGAGAGCCUGAUGAGGAGCUGGCCGAUGCCUUCCCUGUUUUCAUCCGGAAUGCUGUCCUGGGCCAGAAACAGCCCAAGAGGGCCAGGGCAGAGCCCUGUCGCAGCACAGAUGCAGUAAGGACAGGCUUUGAUGGACUUGGAGGCCGGACGAAAUUCAUCCAGCCUACUGACACGACUAUGAUCCGCCCACUGCCCACGAAGCUCAAGCUCAAGGCUAGGGCAAAGCAGAGAGUGGCAGCCAGGACAGUGCUCCCUCCCUCCCAGGCUAAGCUGGACAGUUUCCUGUCCUAGUGAAAACAAACUCUGGAGCCUGAUCUGACAACAAAGAAGAGUAUUGGAUGUGCUUGAACCAGACACCAUUCCUCAUUCCUCAGAUCCACUCUAUCAUGGUUGUGAGGGUGGCAGCUCCAGUUCUGAAAGCAGCAGAGUGGACUGGUGCCACGGUGGACAAGAAGCCAGGAAGAAAGUUGUGACCUGUUGCGCCAGUCACAGCUGUGCACCGCCUCCCAUAGCACUGCUUCCCGUGGCACUGCCUCCCACACAGACCCUAUCUACAAGCACUGCAGCCUGUUUCCCAGCCUCAGGAUGGAUGUCCAGGAAACCUCCAAGUUGCUGGAUGAAGAGCUGUACUCUCGGCAGCUGUAUGUGUUGGGUUUGCCAGCCAUGGAGAGGAUUCAGGGAGCCAAGGUGCUGCUGUCAGGCCUUCAGGGCCUGGGGGCUGAGAUAGCCAAAAACUUGGUCCUGAUGGGAAUAGGCAGCCUCACUCUUCAUGAUCCCCACCCUACCUGCUGGUCUGACCUGGCUGCCCAGGUGAGGGUCCUGGGGGCUCUGGGUUCCCACACCAGAGUGGGGGUAGGGCCCAAGAGAAAAUUCCUUGUUUAAGCUGGACUGGGUCUGUCUUUAGUUUUUCCUCUCAGAGCAGGACUUAGGAAGGAGCAGGGCUGAGGCAUCUCAAGAACUUCUGGCUAAGCUCAAUGGAGCUGUUCAGGUGUGCAUCCACAAGGGUGACAUCACCGAGGAUCUGCUGCUGCACUUCCAGGUGCCCUCCCAGCCCUACUUGCCAGGCCAGGCCAGUCCCUCUUCCAGCCCGUAGCAGCAGGGUGGGCUCACAGUGGUUCUGGCCCUGCUGAUAAUGAGGUCCACCCAGGUGGUAGUGCUGACUGCCCUGAAGCUGGAGGAGCAGCUGAAGGUGGGCAGCUUCUGCCACAAGCAUGGAAUCUGCUUUCUGGUAGCUGAUACCCGAGGCCUCGUUGGGUAAGACGGCUUGCUUAGCCUGCCAUAUCUUAGGUUGCAACUGGUCCCAUUGCUGUCCCCAGCUCCAGGCUUGCUCAGAAUCCCACCACUCAAUGCCAUGCCUGUCCCAGCAACCCUUGUUGAUUAUGGACCCUAGUCCCAUCCAUGUGCUUCCUCUACCUCAGCCUCCAGACUUGCUCCAGUAAAUCCUUCAAACCAGCUUCCAUGCCCCUCCCAGCAUUCUUCCCCUAUUCCUCUGGGCUUGCCCUGAUAUCCCUCACCUUUCACCACAACUGUGCCACUCAACUACUCAGCCAUCUCAAUGACCUCUGCCUCCCCCCCACUCCCCAACAGGCAGCUGUUCUGCGACUUUGGUGAGAACUUCACUGUGCAGGAGCCAACAGAGGCAGAACCCCUGACAGCUGCCAUCCAGCAUAUUUCUCAGGGCUCCCCUGGCAUUCUCACUCUGAGAGAACAGGCUGAUGCCCAUCACUUCCACAACGGGGAUUUGGUGACUUUCUCUGGCAUUGAAGGCAUGGUGGAGCUCAACAACUGUGCUCCUUGGCCUCUCCGCGUGCGGGGUGAGUCAACCCCACUCUAACUCCAGGCUCAGUGCCCAGUCCCCCCGGGGGUGGACACAGCCUGAUCCAUGGAAAUAAGUCCUCCCUCCACCUUCCUCAGGGUGGAGCAACAUUGAGGACGUAGAUGCAAGACAGGUGGAGUGUGGGGACCUACUCAGGUUUAGAGGUCAUACUGACUAGGCUGGAUCUCCCCCAGAGGACGGGACCUUGGAGAUUGAGGACACAUCCACCUUCUCUCGUUACUUGCGUGGUGGAGUUAUCACUGAGGUUAAGAAAUCCAAGACUGUGAGCCAUGAGCCCCUGGACGUAGCCCUGCUCCAGCCCCGUGUGGUGGCCCAGAGUUCCCAGGAAGUUCACCGGGCCCACUGCCUGCAUCAGGCCUUCCGUGCACUGCACAAGUUCCAGGAACUCAGCGGCCGCCGUCCUCAGCCCUGGGAUCCUGUUGAUACAGAGAUGGUGGUGGACCUGGCCCGGGCCCUGGAACCACUGAAGGGGACAGAAGGAGAGCCAUUGGAAGAGCAGCUGGAUGAGGCUCUAGUGCGGACAGUCGCCCUGAGCAGUGCUGGUAGCUUGAGUCCCAUGGCAGCCAUGCUGGGUGCAGUGGCUGCCCAGGAAGUGCUGAAGGUGGGCACAGAGAGAGAUGGGGCAGGGCUCCAAAGGGUACAGAGGUCUGUGUGGGCACCAGAGGGUGCCCAACACCAAACAGUGGCCUUGGAAGCUUCACUACUUGGGUGCAGCCCUCAGCCAGGAUCUGAGGGGAUUAGGAGGUGGCAGGAGUCCUCAGACUAAAGUGCUGACUUCUAGGCAAUCUCCAGGAAGUUUAUGCCUCUGGACCAGUGGCUGUACUUUGAUGCCCUUGAUUGCCUUCCAGAAGAUGGGGAAUCUUUCCCCAAUCCUGAGGACUAUGCACCGGUGAGAACUGGGGGUAGGGGUAUAAGCAUUAUCCAAACUCAGGGUUGGGAGUGAAACAGGAAGAAUGGUCCCAAGAUCCUGACCUGGAAAACAGGGUUUAGGGUGUUCUCUCGUGGAGCAGCAGGUUAAGGAUCAGGCAUUGUCACUGCAGCGGCUCAGGUCGCUGCCGUGGUGUGGGUUUGCUCCCUGGCCUGGGUUCACACCCUGGCCUGGGGACUUCCAUAUGCUGCAGGGGUGGCCAAAACCAAACAGAUGAACAAAAAACCCUAGGUGUAAGAGGGAGAUGCAGCACAGGCCAGUGGCCAGCACUGACGCCUGUCUCUGUCCUCUAGAGAGGCUGCCGCUAUGAUGGGCAAAUCGCAGUGUUUGGGGCUCAUUUUCAGGAGAGGCUGAGCCACCAGCACUACCUCCUGGUGAGCCAUGUGGUAAGGCUGGGAGUGUGUGGGAGGGCCAGGCCAGGCCCUCUGGCUCAGGUUGCUCCUAUGGGUAGGUGGGCGCUGGUGCCAUUGGCUGUGAGCUGCUCAAAGGCUUUGCCCUAGUGGGCCUGGGGGCCGGAGGCAGUGGGGGCGUGACUGUUGCUGACAUGGACCAUGUGGAGCGCUCCAACCUCAGCCGGCAGUUCCUCUUCAGGCCUCAGGACAUUGGUAGGCUGAAGGCAGAAGUGGCUGCAGAGGCUGCUCACCGCCUAAACUCAGACUUGCUCGUGACCCCGCUCCCCUACCAGCUGGAUCCUACUACAGAGCACAUAUAUGGGGACAACUUCUUCUCCAGUGUGGAUGGUGUGGCUGCCGCCCUGGACAGUUUCCAGGCCCGGCGCUAUGUGGCUGCUCGCUGCACCCACUAUCUGAAGCCACUACUGGAGGCGGGCACAAAGGGCACCUGGGGCAGUGCUUGUGUGUUCGUGCCACACUUGACUGAGGGCUAUAGAGCCCCUGCCUCGGCAGCAGCUUCCGAAGAUACCUCUUACCCCAUCUGUACUGUACGGCACUUCCCCAGCACAGCUGAGCACACCUUGCAGUGGGCCCGGGAUGAGUUUGAGGGACUUUUCCGUCUGUUUGCUGAGACCAUCAACCGUCACCAACAGGCACUCACUCCUCCAGCAGACUUGGAUGGGCCACAAAUGCUGAACCUGCUGCAAGUGGUGCUGGGUGUUCUGAGAGAGCGUCCACAGACCUGGCGAGACUGCGUGGUGUGGGCCCUUGGCCACUGGCAACUACGCUUCCAUUAUGGCAUCGAACAGUUACUGAGGCACUUCCCACCUGAUAAAGUGUUGGAGGAUGGAACUCCUUUCUGGUCGGGUCCCAAACAAUGUCCCCAGCCCUUGGAGUUUGAUGCCAGCCAAGUGAGUGGGGUCUCCUAAAAGCCCUGAGAUGGGAAUGUGGGCCCUCAGUGUGAAGGUAGGCACUCUGUAUUUCGCACAGAUGAUAGAGAGAGAGCCAUAUUUGUGCAUAUGUGGGUGUCCACAUGUGAGGCAGAGGCAGGCUCAAACGGAACCAUGAAUAGGCAGUGACCCCAACCAUAAAUACUCAAACAAACUCAUUCAAACCCAUGCAUCUGCCCCUGCUCUUGGUCUCAUUAUAGGACAUGCACCUCCUCUUCGUGCUGGCUGCUGCCAACCUGUAUGCCCAGAUGCAUGGGCUGCCUGGCUCACAGGACCAGACUGCACUCAAAGACCUGCUGCAGUUGCUACCACUGCCUGAUCCCCAGUACUUGGCUCCCAUUUUUGCCAGUGACUUGGAGCUGACUUUGGCUUCUGCUGAGUUUGGUGAGGUCCCUGGCCCUCGCUCCCCCAAGCUGCCACACAAAGGCCUGACCCUGUCCUUAGCCUGUGCUGCAGAAAGAGGCCCUGCAGCCAACUCACGACCUCUCAGGCCCUCUGACCUUCCUUUUCUCUAGCUUUAGGUUCCUCCUCUGGCCCUCUCUCCCUCCUGCCUUCCCACCCCCACCCCCAUCCUUAUUCCUUUAGCAGAUUCUCAGGGAAAAAAAAAAACCCACAAAUUACUGGGCCCUGGGGAGCAACUGGCUGUGGCUUCCAUAGGUGUGCAUGUGUGUGUGCGUGCGUGUGUGUGUGCAUGUGCACGUGUAUGUGUGUAUGCACAAGUAAUGGCUAGGGCUGCUGGGAAGGAGACUCCAGCAUCCAUCAAGGGAUCUCCCCGAAAGUGGUAAGUGAUAGGCUUGGCAGGGACCAAGGAGAGGCAGCAGGCUCCAGUAGAGCACAGGACGUGGACCCUAAGGACUGCCCCAAUAUCCCAUUCCCCAACAGGCCCUGAGCGGUUGAAGAAACUACAUGAAGCCCUGGAAACCUGGCGCAUGGGUGCUCCCCUGAAACCCCUGAUGUUUGAGAAGGACGAUGACAGCAACUUCCAUGUGGAUUUUGUGGUCGCAGCAGCUAGCCUGCGAGCUCAGAACUAUGGGAUCCCACCAGCCAACCGUGCCAAGAGCAAACAAAUUGUGGGCCGGAUUAUCCCAGCCAUUGCCACCACUACAGCAGCUGUGGCUGGCCUGGUGUGCCUGGAGCUGUAUAAGGUGGUGGGAGGGCCUCGGCCCCUCACUGCCUUUCGCCACAGCUAUCUGCACCUGGCUGAAAACUACUUUAGCCGCUGGGUACCUAGUGCCCCAGCCAUCCAGAAGUUCCAUGACCUGAAGUGGACCUGUUGGGACCGCCUGGAAGUGCCUGCUGGGCAGCCCAUGAGGACCUUGGAGUCAUUGUUGGCCCAUCUCCAGGAACUACAUGAGCUGAGGGUGAGGAUGCUGCUGCACGGGCCAGCCCUGCUCUACUCGGCAGGAUGGUCGCCUGAAAAGCGGGCCCAUCAUCUCUCCCUCAGGGUGACAGAUCUGGUGCAGCAGGUAACAGGACGAGCACCUGAGCCUGGGCAGCGGGUGCUUGUACUGGAGCUCAGCUUUGAGGGUGAAGAGGAGGACACUGCCUUCCCACCCUUGCACUAUGAGCUGUGAAAAGGCAGCAGCCCCACUAUCCAGCUCUGUCAAGCCCUGCGUCCCAAGCCCACAGUAGGUGCUCAAUAAAUGCUUGUUGAAGGAA